rnacentral:lncRNA from 1 species
GGAGGGCGGACAGCAGAAGGCCAACAGUGGAGGGAAGGAGGCGCCCCCCAGUCCUUGACACCCUGGGCUAUGGUCCUACUUGGAGCUCAUCUGCUUCCCAGUCUCGGUUCCUUUUCUCCUCUCACCACCUCCAUGUUCUUCCCAAUCUUCAAGGCCAAAUCCCACCCCCCCAAAUUCUUCAAAAACACUGUUUUCCAGUUGAACCUCAGGACCCCUGUAUCAGGAUGCCGUAGCUGGGGGCUGUUAAAUGCAGGUUUCCAGGCCCUGCCUGCUCUCGCUGAAAGAGAAUCUCUUAGGGAUGAGUCCGGGAGGCUGCAUUCCUACCCGGGCCCAACCCCACCUCCUCCACACAGUGCUCCCCGACACCCAGAAGGAGAACCUCUCUUCCCUCCAUGGCCCCUGCCUGGACCCCAUCCUUCUCUGGGUUCUUUUCACCCUCCCCUGGCUGACUUGAGACUUCUAACAGUGUUGGGUGUUUUCUCACUGUGGCUGGGAGAACUGGGCCAGCUCUCCUCACACAGGAGGAGGACGGCAGGCAGUUCCAAGGGGACAGGUGAGCAAGGGGAUGCAGCACGGGUACUUUUGUGACUUGACAUACCACCCUAUGCCAGGCACAGGGCCUCCCACAGGCUACCUCACCGCAGCCAGGCGAAUGUUACCACUGAAGACAGACUAGGGUCGUGUGCGAACAGGGCCAGGUCGAGGUCUGAGUUCAACAUAUUUCAAUAAAGGUGACUGGGAUUCAGGGGACCUUGUACGAUGGUGAGUGCCCAUCACCCCCAGAGAGUAAGUGUUCUGGGGAAGAAGUUGCUGGGUCCGUUUUGUCCUCUGCAGGGAAAAUGGACACUGACCAUGUCCAGCGUUUGAUGAAUGCGUGAGUCUAAAUUUCGUUUCUUCCUGCAGCCUGUCUGGAAGGCCAGUUAGAAGCCAAUGAACUGGGGGAGACAGACAGGAGAUGGAUGAGACAACAGGAAGAGGAAGGGUGUGGGUGGUCGGCCCUGCGUGGAAGUGCCUCACCACGGUGGCCUGCUGCCCCCAGAGAGACUUCCAGCCGAGAGAGAGUCUGUGGUCUGUGCAGCACAGACCACAGGCCUUGGGGUUGCCAUGGCAACCCCGGCCUGCCGCCCCCACCAUCUCCUGUCUCCCUACCCAGACUGCUCCACCCCCCAAUUAAUAAACUAAUAAUGUAUGACAACAGUUACCGCAAACACCCAGGCAGCAGCCCUCUCGAAAAUAAACAGCCUCGUCCAGGGAGCUGAGAACUGCGAAGAUUCACCUGACACUCAACCCCGGGCCACCUGCUAAAAUCUAUUUCCCUGAAUCCAAAUUACUCUGUCUCGGGUUUCUCCUUGUUUGAAAGGCACCAUGUUGGCAGAGGCAGGGACUGAAGUCUGAGAGGUUCCUGAGAAACAGAUGCUAGGGAGGCCACCAUAUAGGACACCUGCUUCCUCAGUCUUGAAUGGGGACCAGAGACGCUGAUUGGGUGAUCAGGCCCUUGUCAUGGACAUCUGGAUCUCAGCUGGUCCCCUCCUGAAGAAGCCCUUCAUCUUUGCAAAGGAUGAAGACAUUCAUGGCACCCAGAGCGGGGGAUAACAAUAACAGGGAAUACUUUCAAGUUGGGGUAGACUCAGGAUGAUGGCAAACUACUUGCAAUUCCUUUCAUUGAGAGAUGGGAGUCUAUGCUCUGUGACAACUUGACCAGCAGAAUAAGGUGGAAGCAGCUCUGUCCCAGCUCAAGCCCAGGCCUCAGAGACCACAGCUCUUGAAACCCAAGUACCACACCGUGAGAAAACCCAAAAGAAACAAGAUCCUGGCUGAUGGCUUCGGCUACACUCCCAACUGACAGCCAGGAUCGACCUGCCUGCCAUACAGGUAUAGUGUGAUCAUGGAAGACGGUCCUCCAGACCCAGGUAGGCCAUCUCAGCUGAUGCUGCAAAGGAGCAGAGAUCAGCCAUCCCCACCAAGCCCUGCCCAAAUCAC